rnacentral:rRNA from 1 species
GACGAACGCUGGCGGCGUGCCUAAUACAUGCAAGUAGAACGCUGAAGAGAGGAGCUUGCUCUUCUUGGAUGAGUUGCGAACGGGUGAGUAAAGCGUAGGUAACCUGCCUUGUAGCGGGGGAUAACUAUUGGAAACGAUAGCUAAUACCGCAUAACAAUGGAUGACCCAUGUCAUUUAUUUGAAAGGGGCAAAUGCUCCACUACAAGAUGGACCUGCGUUGUAUUAGCUAGUAGGUGAGGUAACGGCUCACCUAGGCGACGAUACAUAGCCGACCUGAGAGGGUGAUCGGCCACACUGGGACUGAGACACGGCCCAGACUCCUACGGGAGGCAGCAGUAGGGAAUCUUCGGCAAUGGGGGCAACCCUGACCGAGCAACGCCGCGUGAGUGAAGAAGGUUUUCGGAUCGUAAAGCUCUGUUGUAAGUCAAGAACGAGUGUGAGAGUGGAAAGUUCACACUGUGACGGUAGCUUACCAGAAAGGGACGGCUAACUACGUG